rnacentral:misc_RNA from 1 species
GAAGUGCGAAACGUGUCAUGACUUGCAGAUUCCCGAGAGCUGACGAAUCUCUGAAUGCAAAUGGCGGCCGCUCGACUCGGCCAUGGAUUGCAGAGUGUAGUGGUUCCGACUCCUCAUCCAACUGCAAUCGAGACCGCGCGCGGCGGCAACGCGGCGCGCGCCCAUUGCAGUUGCAUCUGCGCUUGCGCGUCCCAGCGAGCGUGAAAAGGCGAGUUAAGGGGCGCAACCUCGCACCGAGGGCCUCUUAACUACGGAACAACAAGACAGCGCAGCAAUGUGCUGUUUUCUUGAUAACGAACUUUCUACAAAUAACAAACCCACCUCUGCAAUGCAGGAAUACCCGCUGAACUUAA